UGUCUAGCAACUCCUAUCCCUUCCUCCUCGUGGUACUGGCCGGGGUACCAGUAACCUUACCCGAGGAGGAAAG
rnacentral:ribozyme from 1 species